rnacentral:rRNA from 1 species
CGGGGACCCGCACAAGCGGUGGAGCAUGUGGUUUAAUUCGAUGCAACGCGAAGAACCUUACCUGGUCUUGACAUCCACAGAACUUUCCAGAGAUGGAUUGGUGCCUUCGGGAACUGUGAGACAGGUGCUGCAUGGCUGUCGUCAGCUCGUGUUGUGAAAUGUUGGGUUAAGUCCCGCAACGAGCGCAACCCUUAUCCUUUGUUGCCAGCGGUCCGGCCGGGAACUCAAAGGAGACUGCCAGUGAUAAACUGGAGGAAGGUGGGAUGACGUCAAGUCAUCAUGGCCCUUACGACCAGGGCUACACACGUGCUACAAUGGCGCAUACAAAGAGAAGCGACCUCGCGAGAGCAAGCGGACCUCAUAAAGUGCGUCGUAGUCCGGAUUGGAGUCUGCAACUCGACUCCAUGAAGUCGGAAUCGCUAGUAAUCGUGGAUCAGAAUGCCACGGUGAAUACGUUCCCGGGCCUU